ACAGAGAGUUUUGGCGGGACAUCUGUGAGGACAGGAUGUAAAUUGUAAUUUGACCUCAGGUAUCAGGGAAACGGUGAACAAACAGGUUGUGCAUGUACACAACUUGUUUGUUUUUGCUGUUUCCCUGAUGCUUGGGAUUGGAUUGCAAUUUGCAUCUUGUUUUUGCGGAUGUCCUGUUUGAGUUCUCUGUUGAUGCUCACUUUCUCUGUGCAGUUGAGGAGGGGCGGUUCAGUCUGGGGGCCCUCCUGCAUCUUUAAUUUUGCUUUCGGGUCCUGUAAGUUGGUUUGGUUUUGUUUUAUCUUAUUUUGUGUAUUGUUCGUUGAUCUUAAGUAUCAUAUUACUGGUACAAUAUCAUUCCAUGUGCCAUUGUAUCCUUUUCAG
rnacentral:lncRNA from 1 species